rnacentral:rRNA from 1 species
CCUACGGGCGGCAGCAGUGAGGAAUAUUGGUCAAUGGACGAGAGUCUGAACCAGCCAAGUAGCGUGAAGGAUGACUGCCCUAUGGGUUGUAAACUUCUUUUAUAUGGGAAUAAAAUGUUCCACGUGUGGGAUUUUGUAUGUACCAUAUGAAUAAGGAUCGGCAAACUCCGUGCCAGCAGCCACGGUAAUACGGAGGAUCCGAGCGUUAUCCGGAAUUAUUGGGUUUAAAGGGAGCGUCGGUGGAUUGUUAAGUAAGUUGUGAAAGUUUGCGGCUCAACCGUAAAAUUGCAGUUGAAACCGGCAGUCUUGAGUACAGUAGAGGUGGGCGGAAUUCGUGGUGUAGCGGUGAAAUGCUUAGAUAGAACGAAGAACUCCGAUUGCGAAGGCAGUUCACUGGACUGCAACUGACACGGAGGCUCGAAAGUGUGGGUAUCAAACAGGAUUAGAUACCCCGGUAGUC